CCUACGGGUGGCAGCAGUCGAGAAUAUUUGACAAUGGGCGAAACCCUGAUCGUGCGACGCCGCGUGCGGGAAUGCAGGUCUUCGGAUUGUAAACUCCUGUCAUGUGGGAGCAAAUUAAAAAGAUAGUACCACGAGAGGAAGAGACGGCUAACUCUGGGCCAGCAGCCGCGGUAAGACAGAGGUCUCAAGCGUUGUUCGGAAUCACUGGGCGUAGAGCGUGCGUAGGCGGUUUCGUAAGUCGUGUGUGAAAGGCGCGGGCUCAACUCGCGGACGGCAAAUGAUACUGUCAGACUAGAGUAAAGUAGGGGGAACCGGAAUGUUCGGUGUAGCAGUGAAAUGCGUAGAGAUC
rnacentral:rRNA from 1 species